rnacentral:rRNA from 1 species
CACCGCGGUUAUACGAGAGACUCUUGUUGAUAAUUACCGGCGUAAAGCGUGGUUAAGGCCCUACUCACCUAAAGCUAAACGCUUUCCCAGCUGUUAUACGCUCUCGAAAAAAGACACCCUUACACGAAAGUAGCUUUAUCCUCCUGAACCCACAACAAUUAGGAAA